GUGCCAGCAGCCGCGGUAAUACCGGCAGCCCAAGUGAUGGCCGCUGUUAUUGGGCCUAAAGCGUCCGUAGCUGGCUGCGCAAGUCCGUCGGGAGAUCCACUCGCCCAACGAGUGGGCGUCCGACGGAAACUGCACGGCUUGGGACCGGAAGACUCGAGAGGUACGUCCGGGGUAGGAGUGAAAUCCCGUAAUCCCGAACGGACCACCGAUGGCGAAAGCAUCUCGAGAAAACGGAUCCGACAGUGAGGGACGAAAGCCAGGGUCUCGAACCGGAUUAGAUACCCCUGUAGUCC
rnacentral:rRNA from 1 species